AUUUGAUGAUGUGGGCAUUGUAUUUGAAGAUCAUUAAAUCUAUCCCAAGCUUCAUAAAAUUCUUCAUUAGGUUCUUGUGUAAAUGUUUGAAUUAUAUUUCGAAUAUC
rnacentral:snoRNA from 1 species